CUGAACUCUUACUUCGUCUCGUUUAAUUCGAUCGGUCCUUGGGGUCCAAGCAACGAGGGUCCGGGCAGGGAGUCCAUUCUCCUCUGAGGAACAGGCCUCUGGUUGCCUCUUGUGGGGAGACGUGUCCCAUUGCCUCGUUGUGAUGGCCUCAGGAUGAGAGAUUAUUUGCAUCUGGUGUGAUGAAUAAACCCAGACUCUCAGCAAUGCGGAAAGAAACGGGCCGGCGAACUGGGGGAAAGGAUCCUUGCAUACUAUGGCAACCAAGUAACUCUGUGCACAGACCAAGAUGAAAAAUAUAUGAUUCCUAAUGUCUGGUCCAAAGAGGGAAACUGAGGGAAACUCCGAAUCCCUCCAAUCCACAUCAAGCUAAAAACACCUGGAGAAGUAGUAAGAGAAUCAAGCAGAACAACUAAGCCAAGACAUGUUAAGAAAGUCUGAAGAGAAUGGUAGAAAUUCAAGAUGGAGCAGUUGAAUGCAGUGAGUUCCAAACUUGUCUUCCAAUAAUCAGCAUGCCAGUAUGUUCAGUUUCUGUGUUCUUUGUUCCCCAUUUUAAAAUUUAACUUCCUUGUUCUCUUCCUUUCCUUGCCUCUAGUUUCAGUAAACGACCUUCCUACCAGCUCUGAUCAGUAGUUCAUAUUUAUAUUCCUGGUCACCUGCUCCAUCCUAAGUCAGCUCUGGUCACCUGCUCUGACCUGAGUCAUCUUUAGUCACCUGUUCCAUAACCAUGUCUUUCCCCCCGAAAAGACAGAGGGAAAGAUGGUUAUCGAACAGGUGACUAAAAGCUCAUAACCCUACUCUCUUUAAAAUAGCCAAUCAGAAUCAGCUUAGACUGUGUGGUCUAACCCUAGUUAAUAAGGGAACAACACAGUAGUAGGGGUGACCUGCGUCAGGGAUAAGAACUCCUUCCUUCUCCUGCCCUGUUCAGGUGUGCUCUCGCCAUUGCUCCGUCUGUGAGAUGCACCUUCUAUAGAAGUAAACAUUGCCUUUCUGAGAAAAUUUAUGUUUGAGUGCUAUUUCCUUUGUGGCACUGAAAAUUUGCUUCUAACAGAAUUAUCUGAUAAAAUAAUAAAAUCAUAAACUGACACAGCUCCAUUAAAACAAAUUAUAUCCCUUUUAAUGCUUAUGAAAAACAAAUAUUUCCUGAAUGGCUAUCAAACCUGUUGCUGACUAUAUAAAGCACUUUAUAUGCUCACUUAAUCUUUACAACCCCCAAACUAGCCAUCAGCACAUUGUAUAUAAGGAAACAGUCUUAAGAGAUCUCACACCUAGUAAAUGCUAGAGCCAAAACUGGAACUUGUGUUAAUCUGUGAAGGCUUCCAUAACAGAUCACACUCUGAGUGGCUUUGGAGGCUGGAAGUCCAAGAUCAGGGUACAGGCAGGGUUGGGUUUUGGUGAGGCCUUUCACCUUGGCUUGAAGAUGGCUGUCUUCUCACUGUGCCCUCUCAUAGCCUUUUCUCCACAUGCAUAAUCCUGUUCUCCUUUCCUCUUCUUAUAAGAAAACCAGUUUUAUCGAAUUACUGCUUAUCUUUAUGAUCUCAUUUAAUUAACCCUGAUUACCUUGUUAAAGGCUCUAUCCCAAAUACAGAUUGAGUGACAUAUUUUAUUAAUUUUCGAGGGGAGCGCAAUUCAGUCCACGACAGAACUCAAAUGUAACUCCAGAGCCUAAUCUACAGUCCCUUAACUGACUUGAUUACCACACUGUUUUCUGCUGGAAUACAUGUUCUAAACCAAAUCUGAAGGAACCUGACAAAGGAGGUUAAUGGUUUUAUAUACAUUACUAUACUUGAUCCUCCCAAUAAUGUGGUAAGGCAAGAAUCACAAAUCAUUUCCUCAUUUCACAGAGUUCAGGGAGAACAAAAAGCUUGCUGAAGAUUACAUCCUUUUAUUAAAAAGUUACAUGAAGAUACAUGCCCACAAAAUAAGGGCAUAAAGCAAGACUGAAGAAAGUGAUCCAAAAACAGUGGCUCUAAGUCAAGAAAGCGAUGAUUCCUAAACCCAGAUGACCGGUGUGUGGCAAGCCAAAGAGAAAACUCCAGUUUGGGGCCAGUGAUGAGAGCUCCAGGAAGGAAAUCUCCAAGAAAUAAGAGAAAAUAAAUAGGAUAGGCAGAAGGAAUGAGAAGGGAAAGGAAUACUCUGAAAAUCUGGGUAAGGCAAUUUGUUGUUAAGAGGAAAAAAUAUUGCUUCAAAUGGCACAAAGGUCACAAAACUGGAAUAUACAUAGAGAAGGAAACAUAAUCUGCAUAUUAGGCAGUUCUGUAAUAAAAAAUAUUUAUAUUAGACAUAAUAAUGUAAAAACACAGACCAAGAAAGACAUAACUAUGAACAGAACAUGUUAUCAAUUAUAUAAAAAUAAGGAUGGCCAGGUGUGGUGGUUUAUGCCUGUAAUCCCAACACUUUGGGAGGCUGAGGCAGGUGAACUGCUUGUGCUUAGGAGUUCGCGACGUGCCUAGGCAACAACCCUAUUAAACUACUUUGAGAGAGAGAUCCAAGCUGGCUGAUCACUAGCAGCGUGGGAUUGUAGCUCCCAGUGAAAGCACAGAGAACGAGAAGACGCCACACUUUGAGAUGAAUUUUUGUUGCUCAUGGACCAGGACAUUCCCAGCAGAGGAGCCCCACAGGUCGCCCACGUGGCGGUUCUUGGUGCAGAGUAAACAGGACUGGGUCCCCUUUUGGUCAAUGUUUGGAGCUCUGGAAAGGCAGAAUCAACUAUUAAGCUGAUUGAAGGAUGGACUCAAGAAGGAAGCCAGACCACGGAGAUUCCCAGGCAGAAAAGCACCAUCAAUCUUAACGCCACUGUUUUAGCUGGCGCAGUGGGUUGCUCAGAUUCCAGCGCUGGGAAUCAACAAGUUGGACAUCCACUCAGAAACCUAAUUUGAAAGUCGGUAAUUACAAAGACGACAGAUGGAUAAAUUUACAGUGAUGGGAAGAAACCAGCCUAAGAAGGCUGAGAAUACCCCAAAUCAGAAUGCCUCUCCCUCUACAAGGGAUCACAGUCCCUCAUCAGCAGUGGAACAAGGCCUGAUGGAGAAUGAGUUCCAUUAACAGAGGCAGGCUUCAGAAGGUGGAUGGUAAGAAACUUCUGUGAGUUAAAAGAACAUGUUCUAACCCAAUGCAAAGAAACUAAGAACUUUGAAAAAAGGUUUGACGAAAUCCUAACGAGAAUAGACAAUUUAGAGAGGAAUAUAAGUGAAUUAAUGGAACUGAAGAAUACAAUGCAAGAACUCCACGAAGUAUGCACAGGUUUUACGGUCGAAUUGAUCAAGCAGGAGAAAGGAUAUCAGAGGUUGAAGACCAACUUAAUGAAAUGAAACAAGAAGACAAGAUUAGAGAAGAAAGAGUAAAAAGGAAUGAGCAAAGUCUCCAAGAAAUAUGGGACUAUGUGAAAAGACCUAAUUUACGUUUGAUAGGUGUACCUGAAUGUUAUGAAGAGAAUGAUUCCAAGCUGGAAAAUAUUCUUCUGGAUAUUAUUCAGGAAAACUUUCCUAACCUAGUAAGGCAGGACAAUAUUCAACUCCAGGUAAUACAGAGAACACCACAAAGAUAUUCCUCAAGUAGAGCAACUCCAAGACACAUAAUCGUUAGAUUCACCAGGAUUGAAAUAAGGGAGAAAAUUCUAAGGGCAUCUAGAGAGAAGGGUCAGGUUACCCAUAAAGGGAAGCCUAUCAGACUCACAGCAGAUCUCUCAGCAGAAACCCUACAAACUAGAAGACAGUGGGGGUCAAUAUUCAAUAUCCUCAAAGAAAAGAAUUUUCAACCCAGAAUCUCAUAUCCAGCCAAACUGAGCUUUAUAAAUGAAGGAAAAACAAAAUUUUCACAAACAAGCAAGCACUCAGAGAUUUCAUCACCAUCAGGCCUGCUUUACAAGACCUUCUGAAAGAAGCGCUAUACACAGAACAGAACAACCAGUAUCAGUCAUCCCAAAAACUUACCAAAAGGUAAAGAGUAUCUCCAUAAUAAAGAAUCUAUAUCAACUAAUGGGCAAAAUAGCCAGCUAGCAUUAAACGACAAUAUUAAACUCACAAAUAUCAAUAUUAAUCCUAAAUUUAAACAGAUUAAAUGCCCCAAUCAAAGACAUACAAAGGAAAAUUGAAUAAAAAGUCAAAACCCAUUGGUACGCUGUAUCCAGAUCCAUUUCAUAAGCAAGGACACACAAAGACUCAAAGCUUUGGUGGAAGACUUACCUAUCAAAUGAAGAGGCGGGGUGGGGAUGACAGGAGUUGUAACUUCCGUCUCUGACAAAAUAAACUUUAAUAGUAACAAAGACUCAAAGAAACAAAGAAGGACAUUACAUAAUGGUAAAAGGAUCAAUGCAACAAUAGGAGCCAAUGAUCAUAAAUCUAUAUGCACCCAAUAUAGGAACACCCAGAUACAUAAGACAAGUUCUCAAUGACUUAUAAAGAGACUUGGACUCCCGCACAAUAAUAGCAGGAGACUUUGACACCAGUAUUGUUAAUAUUUGACGGAUCAACGAGAUAGAAAAUUAACAGGGACAUUUAUGAUUUGAUCUCAGAUCUGCAACAAGUAAAUUCAGUGAGUAUCUAUAGAAUUCUUCACCCCAGGUCCACAGAACAUACAUUUUUCUCAGUAUCACAUUACACCUAUUUUGAAAGUGACCACAUAAUUGGAAGUAAAUCAUUCUUCAGCAUUUGCAUAGCAUUCCACAGACUUAAAUGAAAUAUUGAUUGGCUGUUUGUUAGUUUCUUCCCUUAUUCCUUCCUGUCUCCUCUAAUAAGUACAAUUAUCGGCAUAAAAGAGGUUUUUAAUACCUAUUUUUAGAUUGCAUUCUAGCCUGAGCAAUAGAGCAAGAUUCCUGUUCUCUCUCCCCCUUUCUCUUUCUCUUCUUUAAAAAACAAAAAACAAAAAAAAGCUACUUUGAAAAUUGUAGUAAUAUCUACAAAGCCUAUAACUCAGCAAUCCUACUCCUUUAUAUACCCAAGAGAAAUGUGCACAAAUGUUCACCAAAAGACAUAUAUAAGGAUAUUCAUAACAACCCUGUCUAUCAACAAAAUGGACAGGCUAAAGUGCAUUCACACAGUGGAAUACUCCACAGCAAAUACAAUGAACAAAUUAUAUCUAUAUGCAACAACAUGGAUUAAUCUCACAAACUACUGUUGAGCUAAAGACAACAAAAAUGAGUGUGUACAGUAUGAUUCAAUUUACACAAAGUUCAAAAUCAGGCAAACAAAAAAACACAAACAGUGUUAGAAGUCAGGAUGUAGUUACUUUUAGGCAGAGGAGGGGAAGGUAGUAAUACAAGGAGCUUCUUGGUUGCUGGUAAUACUCUGUUGCUUGUUUUGAACGCUGAUUUCAUGAGUUUGUUCACUUUGUAGAAAUUCAUGGAGUUAAAUUUUCUGAUUAGUACACUUUUCAGGUGGUGAGUUACAUUUUAAUAAAAGGUUAAUGAAAAAAUAUGCUUUUUUUCUUUUUUUGAGACAGGGUCUUACUCUGUUGCCCAGGCUGGAAUGCAGUGGUGUGAUCAUGGCUCACUACAGUCUUGACCUCCUGGACUCAAGCAAUCCUUCUGCCUCAGUCUCCCAAGUAGCUGGCACUACAGAUGCAGGCCACCACACCCAGUUAUUUUUUUGUAGAGGUGGUGUCUUCCUAUACUUGAAUUCCUGGGUCCAAGCAUUCCUCUUGUUUUGGUCCCCCAAGUGCUGGGAUUCUAGGAGUGAGCCACCACACUUGGCAUGUUUAAUUUUUAAAUGUGCAUUACUUUACGAAGUAAACUUAAAAUACAUAUUUAAAUUUAUACUUACAAGAGAAGCCAAGCCUUCUUCUCCUGUGUAGAUCUGAAAGAACCUUUUGUAACAUCUAAAAUAUGUUUUACUUUAAGAGGUCUCUUUAAGUUUGCUCUAUAAGCAGGCUGAAUACCAGCUGGUGACAUCUCCAUCACAUGGCAGCAGUAAAACUGUUUGCAAACACUGCAAUCUUUAGAGAGAAAGGUUUUACUAUAAACCCAAUGUAAAAAUAUUGCAGAGGUCUAGACCUACCCUUAACUGCAAUUGAGCUUUCAUGUUCUUGCCAAAGUGAUAAAUCUGCUAGAGUUUUCAGAUCAAUAAGAAAACUUUGUAAUAAUUAGAGCUAGUGAAAAAAGAAUACGGCUAUCUCAAUAUGUAGUAGCAAGCCUGCUAUUUCCAGAAAUAUUAAGGCAAAGGUUAGAUGAGGAUUUGUGAAGGAGAUAAAAAGAACACAAAAAGAAGUCAAAAGAACACAAAACUUAAAAUCACAUAUAAAUAUAGACUGUUAUCCCAACUUUAUCACUUAUAAAGCAGAUGAUAUUGGCAAGGUCUUUCAUGUCCUUAAACUUCAAUUCCUUGUUCAAAAGAGGAGGAGGGGAAUAAUACAUGCUUUUUGCUACCUAUGAAAGAGUGAAGUAAAAUUAAUUCAUAUGCCAGCAUCUCUUAAACUACAAGGUACUAUAACCACCCGAGGGGGUCUUCCUGUCCACAGCAUAAAGACUGACCAUGGUACUGUAGUAGAGAAAGAGUUUAAUAGACACAAGGCUGGCCAUACCACAGAGGAGAUAAAGUUUGUACUCAAAUCACUUCAUUCAAAGCUCCUAGGUGAGGAGUUUUUCAAAGACAGUUUGGGGAAAGGGGUGGGGUGGCCAGGUAACAGGCGCUUGCUGCUGACUGGUUGGGACAGAGAUGAAUCAUAGGGGGUUGAAGCUGUCUUCUAGUGCACCAAAUUGCUUCUGGAUGGAGCCAUAGGAGUGGGGUUGUAACAAGUCCUAAUACAAUGCUACUUUUACUAAAAGACAUUUCCUAAUAGAUAUCUAUAUUAUACAUGCUGUAUAAUUUCUAUAAAAUCACGGUAUCUCACUUUUAAUGGUUUACAGAAAGUAAAUUCUAGUGUUAAUAAUGGGUUCUCUAUUAAGUUUACUUUAGAUAUCUAAAACAGUACCUCUUGUCUUCCAAAACUAUUUUGUCUGGUAUCAUGUUGAGUAAAAUAUAAAGAAAUAAAACUGCUCAGUAAUUCUAUUAAUACUGACUUGGAGUCCUAGAGGGAGUGGAAAUCAAUAAUACUGGUAAUGACUUUCCCAGUGCAGUUUGAUGGUUCUCAAACUUUCUCAUCCAGUCCUCUAAGAAAGACCCAUAUUGGUCACAAUAUUUCAGAAGGAAUGGGUAAACAAAUCCAUGUGAUUAAAAGAUCAAUGACUCUCUGUUCUAAUAAAAAUCCAUGCUCGUUUAUUAUAAGGAACACUAUAGUCAUUUCUGAGAAUCUACACCUUGAUAUUUUCUUAUUUGGGGAUAUAAAAAAAUGAUCCUAAGCUAGAUGUUAAAGAAUUACUACUUUUAAAAGAUGUGAUAGUGGGAUUAUACUUUUUUAAAAGACAUAUUGAUGUUACAUAUAAAUUUUGUGUCAAAAUAAUUGGGGGAGGGGUGUGUGACAAGCUAUAGAUGAACA